ACCAAUCUGGUGGCAUCCUUUGAUGGAGUGAUGGCAUCAAUGGACAAAGGAAAGCUGAUGUUGUCUACUUGGACUUAUGCAAGGCCUUUGACGUGGUCCUGCACCACAUCCUUAUCUCUAAAUUGUAGAGAUAUGGAUUUGAAGGGUGCAUUAUUCAUUGAAUAAAAAAUUGGUUGGAUGAUUGUCACCAGAGGGUUGUUAUCAGUAGUGGAAGCUGAUCACGUCAUGUCCCACAGGGGUGCCUCUUGGGACCAGUGCUGUUCAACAUCUUUAUCACUGACACAGACAGUGGGAUUGAGCGUACCCUCAGCAAGUUUGCUGAUGACAUCAAGCAGAGUGGUGCAGUUGAAACAACAUAAGGGAGGGACACCAUCCAAAGGAACCUGGACACGCUCAAAAAGUGGGCACAUGAGAACUUAAUGAGGUUCAACAAGGCCAAUUGCAAGGCGUUGCAUCUGGGCCAAGGCAGUCCCAGAUACAAGUACAGAUUGGGAGAUGAACUCAUUGAGAGCAGCCCUGCCAAGAAGGACUUGGGGGUUCCGCUGGAUAAAAAGCUGGAAAUGAGCCAGCAGCGUGCUCUUGCAGCCCAGAAGGCCAGCAUUAUCCUGGGCUGCAUCAAACGAUGGGGGAGGUGAUCAUUUCCCUCUACUCAGCUUUCAUGACCCCCAUCUGGAGUACUGUUUCUGGACCUGGGACCUCCAACACAAGAAUGAUGCAGAGUUGUUGGAGUGGGUCCAGAAGAGGGCCAUGAGGAUGAUGAAAGGGUUAGGGCACCUCUUCUAUGAAGAAAGGUUGAAGUAGCUGGCCUUGUUUAGCUUGGAAAAGGCUCACGGGAGACAUCAUUGUGGCCUUCCAGUACUAGAACGGAGCUUACAAGCAGGAGGAGGACCAACCUUUUACAUGGUCUGCUAGUGAUAGGACAAGAGGAAAUGACUUUAAACUGAAAGAGAAAAAAUAUAGGUUAGAUGCUAGGAACAAAUCUUUUACUCAGAGGGCAGUGAGACACUGGAAUAGGUUAGCCCUGAUCUAGGGGCACUCACUUUAAGUGUAGAAACUACACUUAAAGUCUUCUGCUCUUAAAGUGAGUACUCCUACUCCCUUUACUCUGGUCUAACUACUUUUUGGUGCUCAGAUCCAUGAGUCCCUCAGACCAUAAUCUCUCUCUCUCUAGCAGCUGUCACUCAUACCUCUUAAUCCUAUUCACUGGUUAGUCCAAUUUGGAUUCUGCUACUAUUCACAUGUAAAGGCUCAGGAUAGCUUUAUAGUAAGACCACAUACCAGGUAGCUAGACACAACUUAAUACAAACACAGGGUAUAUUCAGGUAACAAAGUGCAGGGCUCAGUUAGGCCUGACAACCAUGUGCUCCUUUAUUCCCUUUUCCCUCUACUUUCCCACUCCUGUUCCUAUUUACUAUUAAUUGAUAUCUUCCUUUCCCCUCUAUUGCUCCUUCUGAGAAUAUUCCAUUAUAAGUUUUAGAUAGUACCAAAAUUGUUUACCUGGCAUCACAUAAUAAGUCCUACAAUUUUUUAUUGCAUGACAUUGCAGGGAGGGGAUCUUCAUUGAGUCAAUCUGGUGAAUGUUGCACCAGUGACAAUUGCUCUCCUCUUAUACUCCAAGGAGCAGCUGAUUCAGUGUAUUCCAUUACGUUAAAAAGUUUUCUCUACCUUCCUCCUCUGAUCCCCAUCAGGACCCUGUGUUUAAUUUGCCUCACUUUCAAUCAGAUAAUCUAAUAUCUACCCUUCUGACAAAUGGAGGUGUAUUAUGAGUUUCCACUAUGUAGCUGUGUUGAGGUUUGUAACUCACAUUUUAAAUUGAAAUCAUUAGAGGAGAGACAGAAAUUAUGAUCACACAUGCCUAAAUUUCUUAAGAAAUGAGGAACUAAAUAUCAGCCAUCUUUUUCCUAAAACUUGACUUUCUUCCUUAUUUAUCAUUAAUUAGUUUACUUUUCCCAUUGUCAGCAAAUACAAAGCUGAUUAUUUUCUCUCCAGUCAAUACAUUUCUUUCAACUUUAUAUUACUGAUCAUUUCAAAUUUUCUCCAAUUCUCCCCAGUUUGUCACUUCAGCAGUGCAACUAUAUUACAAACUGGAAUCUUAACCUUUAAUAUCAUAGAACACAAACAUAGAACUGUUGCCUGCAUUUUUGCAAUUCCAUCCUUGAUUUUUGUCAAUCUUUUGUUAAACCUUGAAAGCACACUGAAACUAGCUAGUGUCUACUUGUGUUUUUAGAAACAUUUUUUUAUCUUAUCAUUCUUAAUUUGUUUGCUGAUCUAGGGAACAGGUUCUGUCUUUCUUCUUCCAUUUUCCCCUAGUGAAAACAGAUCAUGGCCUGUUGCUACCUAGUGCUGGUGAUGUAAAAGGCAAACUAUCCUUGUCAACCCCUUUAUUCUCUAAUUGCUAAAUGACUGGAAGACUUCUAUGAAAAAAUAUUUCAAAACAGAUGAUUCAAGAAAAAAAAUUCUAAAAUGAGGGGGAGUGUCUUGCUCAAUGAAGAGGUUUAGCCUUCCUGUACUUAGCCUCCCAAAAAGUAAAUGUUGCCAGCAUUAAAUUUCAUGUUUCUCACAUGCAUCUGCAGUAGACUUCCUUGGAUUAAAUUGAUAAACAGCCACAGAUAUCCACAUGCCUAUGUGAAUUGCUUGCUCCAAAAAAAAAAAAAAAGAUAUUUUCAAUGUCCUCAAUCACAUUACAGCCUUUAAAAUAUUGUUUUUUAAAAAAUACAAGCAAGCGUUAUUCUGAUGGGUUUUAAAAAGUCACAGUAUAAUUCUUUUUUGUAAAAAUUUUUGAACAGUGUUAUGUAAGAAUUCCAAAUUCAUGUCAUAUGCAGUUUGCGGUAAAUUUAACGCAACAAAAUGAAUAUAGCAAAUAAUAUGAUUAGAGCAUUUUUUUAAAAAUAAAGCUAGUUAAAAUAAUGUAAAAAUAUUUAUGUUUGUGGGUGUUUUAUAAUGUAGCAGUCUUUAAUAUGUCUAACCAUAACUAAUAAAGAUUUUGGUACAAUCAUAGCAUUCAAAGUUACCCUGAUCUCUAUUAUAGACCAUAGAAUUAUUUACUGUGAUUUUUUUUUUUUUUUUUUUAAGUCUUUUGGGAUUCUGGUUGGAAAAUAAAGACAAAUAAAUACAUUUAUCCUAAAUAAACAUAUCUAUAUAUAUUUAUCCUCUGAGGCACUGGAAGACUGUGAUUAGGUCACACAAUUUUUUCUUUUCUGUAGGAUGAACAAAAAGGCUUCACCAUUUCUUCAUAUACCAAAUUCUCCAAUCAUUUUGGCAGCCCAUCAGAGAUUCCACUCAACCUUUUAAAAUUUUUUCCUCAAUUCAAAGAAACUAAAACUGUAAACAACAGUCCAGGCAGCUUGGACAUUUUGGUGAAAGAAGUGAAGGGAGAGGAAGAAGAGAGAAAGGGAUUUCACCCUGCUGAAGAGGACCUAUGAUGAUCCACUAGGAAAGCCUUGGCAAUCCUAAAAGCCACUGAAAGUUUCUGGAUUGAGAACCAUGCCAGAGGAAAAAAACCUAUGUUGCAAACAGUGGCUUCAAGUGCAAGUUUCCUGAGGGUCCAUUCCCAUCAUCCAGAUCACCAAUGAAAAGAACUAAGAAAGACUGCAGUAUUGACUAGUUGCCAUCUGCAAGGUAUAAGAGACUAUUCUUUUAUAUGAUUGACUCAAAGUUUGCUGAGGAACAAGUCCAGGCA